rnacentral:rRNA from 1 species
UACGUAGGGUGCAAGCGUUAAUCGGAAUUACUGGGCGUAAAGCGUGCGCAGGCGGCUUUGCAAGACAGAUGUGAAAUCCCCGGGCUUAACCUGGGAACUGCAUUUGUGACUGCUUGGCUGGAGUGCGGCAGAGGGGGAUGGAAUUCCGCGUGUAGCAGUGAAAUGCGUAGAUAUGCGGAGGAACACCGAUGGCGAAGGCGGCCUGCUGGGUUCUGGCUGACACUGAGGCGCGACAGCGUGGGGAGCAAACAGG